GAGAGAGAGAGGUGCAAGUCAGGAGCAGAAAAAGAAAGCAGUGUGAGAGAGAAGGACAGGACGAUUAUGGAAUUCAUACAAGAAUUGAACAAGGAAGGAGAGCAGAACAUUAGAAGGCAAAGAAAAAAAUGUUCAUUAAAUUGAUGUGGAAUUUUGAGACCGAUGAUCUGACCACAGCCAAAAGACAUUAGUUGGAUUACAACGCAUCUCUUCUCAACACGUCUCAAUGUUUUUGGUCGGCUAUGACGUGUAAGUGCCACUGCUUGCGGGGUUGACAAGCGCAUUACUGGGCGGCGGCGCUGGUCAUUUCCCCGCGGAUGAAGCCGAUCAGAGUUAAAAGCGCGCCAGAGUCUCCGCUGUCACUCCUGUGACAGUUCCACUGAAACCCGCAGGCUGAAACUGACUCCCAUCUUCCUGUGUGCGCUGUCCGGCGCGCGCGCUUUGUAACGGACAGCCGAAACAAUCAAAACUACUGAACAGAGGAUGAUAACAAUAGAGGCGACUUCACCUCUCUCUCUCUCUCUCUCUCUCUCUCUCUCUCUCUCUCUCUCUCUCUCUCUCUCUCUCUCUCUCUCUCUCUCACACACACUCACAAAC